GACGACCUCCUGUUCCUCUCCCCUGCAGGCCUACAUUCACACACGUAUGAGGGCCAAGACGUCAGACUUCCUCAAGGUGCUGAAUCGCGCUCGACCCGACGCUGAGAAGAAGGAGAUGAAGACCAUCUCUGGUAAAACCUUCUCCCGCUGAGGCCGACCUCCACCCGACCAAUCCAAACCCCCGUGGACACGCCCAACGAGACUCAACGCCACACCGGACAGGACUCCAGGACGCCCUCGCCCCGCCCCGCCCGCCCAGCCUCUUUGUUUUUUUUAAUUAUUAUUAUUUGGAUGAUCAUAACGUUGGCUGUACUUAGGGAAAGCCACGGCUCAAGAUAAAUGGAAAAAAGGGCAUUCCUUGCUUUGCAUAGUUAAAGAGAAUUAUUAGUCCUAUAUAAAUAUAUAUAUGAGAAAAAAAAAUGAAAUUUUUGAUACGAUAUCUUUUACUCCAUUUGGUACUCUUGCUUGCCCCUCGGCCCUCACCAUGCCGUAUCCAUGUAUUGGAUGAUUCCUCUCCGUGCUUUCAUGUCGUCUGUACCAUUGUCAUUUGAGAAAACAAAAUAAAUCACUCUUUAAAAAAGCA